UACGUAGGCAGCAAGCGUUGUUCGGAGUUACUGGGCGUAAAGGGUGUGUAGGCGGUUCCUUAAGUUUGCUGUGAAAUCUCCCGGCUUAACCGGGAGGGUGCGGUGAAUACUGAGGGACUAGAGUACGGGAGAGGAAAGUGGAAGUUCCUGGUGUAGCGGUGAAAGUGACGUAGAUAUCGGGAGGAACACCAACGGCGAAGGCAGCUUGCUGGGACGGUACUGACGCUGAGAGUGCGAAAGCGUGGGGAGCAAACAGG
rnacentral:rRNA from 1 species